rnacentral:rRNA from 1 species
UACGAAGGGGGCUAGCGUUGCUCGGAAUGACUGGGCGUAAAGGGCGCGUAGGCGGCUCAUACAGUCAGGCGUGAAAUUCCUGGGCUCAACCUGGGGACUGCGCUUGAGACGUGUGGGCUUGAGUGGGGAAGAGGGUCGUGGAAUUCCCAGUGUAGAGGUGAAAUUCGUAGAUAUUGGGAAGAACACCGGUGGCGAAGGCGGCGACCUGGUCCUUGACUGACGCUGAGGCGCGAAGGCGUGGGGAGCGAACGGG